UACAGAGGGUGCGAGCGUUAAUCGGAAUUACUGGGCGUAAAGCGUGCGUAGACGGUUAUUUAAGUCGGGUGUGAAAGCCCCGGGCUCAACCUGGGAAUUGCAUUCGAGACUGAAUAGCUAGGGUACGGUAGAGGGAAGCGGAAUUUCCGGUGUAGCGGUGAAAUGCGUAGAUAUCGGAAGGAACAUCAGUGGCGAAAGCGGCUUCCUGGACCAGCACCGACGUUCAGGCACGAAAGCGUGGGGAGCAAACAGGA
rnacentral:rRNA from 1 species